GCCUGUAUACAUCAGCAACUCUGACUCCUCUACCUUUCAUAACUUUGUGCUUUGUUUUGUUUUGUUCGGUUUUUUGUUUGUUUGGUGGGUUUUUUUUUCUUCGCCAGUUGCACAUCUGUAUUUAUUAUCUCCUUCAUCAGUUCACCAAGGCAAAGGGAAGGUUGAAGUUAAGUGGAGGAAGAAGGGAGGCAAGGAUGAAGAAAAAAGUUGCGGGGGAGAGAAAAAAACGGGAAGGACGGGUGAUCUCAGAGGAAGGCCAUCCGCAAGCGGGUCCAUGACUGUUCUGCAGGGCGGUGCGUGGCCUUCCGUUGGGAGCUAAAGCACUCAGGGUCGUACAGCCGCUGCUGGAGCGAUACUCACCGAACUCAGGUCUCUCGGAGCGGUAAACGCAGAGCCCCUAGCCUGGCCUCCGAAUGCUGGGUGCGUUUGCAUGGGAGCAAGAGUUACGGUGCGUACUCGGCUGCAACUCCAUAGGCUCAGUGCUGCAAUCGUCUCACCCAGAAGUGCGUUUUGGGGUUCACAGACAGCGACUGCACAGAGCUCACUGUCCGGUGCUGGCCUAGGAUCUUCUCCAAGCGAAGCAAGAAGCCAGCAAUUCCUACGCUCGAGACCAGGGACAGUGCCAGCUGCAUCACAGGAUCCAGGACAAGUAGAGCUGAGCAGUUUCAGCAAGUGUCAGGAUGGCCGAGUGGUCUAAGGCGCCAGACUCAAGGUGACAAGCCUUACCUACGGGUGUUCUGGUCUCCGAAUGGAGGCGUGGGUUCGAAUCCCACUUCUGACACAACUCCUUUUUUUCCUCUCUUUAAGAGUGUCUUUUAUUUUCCUCCGUUCAGGAACUCACCUUUCUCCUACAAGAUUCCUCACAGCUUCGGGCAUUGUUACGUCCCCAGCAUCUGGCUGCCUGGUUGUCUGGUUGCCUAGUCUCUGGUUCACAAACGGAACUGCAGUUGUUCGUCACCAUUGUCGUCACCUAGUCUAGUGCCUCCAGAGGGCUGUUACUAUCUCUUCCCUGGUGGUCUAGUGGUUAGGAUUCGGCGCUCUCACCGCCGCGGCCCGGGUUCGAUUCCCGGUCAGGGAACAGAUCGGAAGAGC